GUGAGGAAUAUUGGGCAAUGGGCGCAAGCCUGACCCAGCAACGCCGCGUGAAGGAAGACGGUUUUCGGAUUGUAAACUUCUUUUGAGAGGGACGAUAAUGACGGUACCUCUUGAAUAAGCCACGGCUAACUACGUGCCAGCAGCCGCGGUAAUACGUAGGUGGCAAGCGUUGUCCGGAUUUACUGGGUGUAAAGGGCGAGUAGGCGGGCAAACAAGUCAGAUGUGAAAUCCCGGGGCUUAACCCCGGAACUGCAUUUGAAACUGUAGGUCUUGAGUGAUGGAGAGGCAGGCGGAAUUCCCGGUGUAGCGGUGGAAUGCGUAGAUAUCGGGAGGAACACCAGUGGCGAAGGCGGCCUGCUGGACAUUAACUGACGCUGAGGAGCGAAAGCGUGGGGAGCAAACAGG
rnacentral:rRNA from 1 species